rnacentral:piRNA from 1 species
UAAGUACCUGUGUGUGUCUUCUGUAGGCCUU